UCAUUAGGUGAUAAAACCUAAAGGCGUAACGAAAGUAAAAAAAGCUUUGCUUUUUUAGGGAGGAUGACUAUUUAACUAUUGUUGUAGUCCGCACUCCCGGGGCGUCUAUUACUCAUUGCGAGUUUGGGCGCACCUAGAGUGUACACGUUGGUACCCGAAAGAUGGUGAACUAUGCCUGGCCAGGAUGAAGCCAGGGGAAACCCUGGUGGAGGUCCGUAGCGAUUCUGACGUGCAAAUCGAUCGUCAGAGCUAGGUAUAGGGGCGAAAGACUUAUCGAACUAUCUAGUAGCUGGUUCCCUCCGAAGUUUCCCUCAGGAUAGCUGGUGCCAAUGAUGAAACGAGUCUCAUCUGGUAAAGCGAAUGAUUAGAGGCCUUGGGGCCGAAACGACCUCAACCUAUUCUCAAACUUUAAAUAGAUGAGAUCCUUGGCUUGCUUAAAAGUGAAGCCAGGGACUUGGAUCUAGGUGCCAAGUGGGCCAAUUUUGGUAAGAAAAACUGGUGAAUACUCUG
rnacentral:rRNA from 1 species